rnacentral:tRNA from 2 species
GGCGGCAUGGCUCAGCUGGCUAGAGCAAUCGGUUCAUACCCGAUAGGUCGUUGGUUCAAGUCCAACUGCCGCUACCA